rnacentral:rRNA from 1 species
CCCUUAGAUGUUCUGGGCGGCCCGCGCACUACACUGGCACUCUCAAUCAGAGCCUGGAUCUAACACUUUGAGGUAUUCUAUGAAGUGGUGUCGUGACUGGGAUUAACCCUUGCAAUUAUUGGUUACGAACGAGGAAUUCCUUGUAAUCGCGGUUUAUCAGCCCGCGUUGAAUGCGUCCCUGCCCUUUGUACACACCGCCCGUCGCUCCUACCGAUGGAUCGUCCGGUGAAGCUCAUGGAGGGGCGGUUGUCUCAGCUGCCGUCGAAGUGAAAUGGACCUCACGAUCUAGAGGAAGGAGAAGUCGUAACA